rnacentral:lncRNA from 1 species
UGUCUUUGUGUGUGUAUCUAGAUGUCUGUCUUUGUGUGAUUGUUUGUGUGUUUCUCUUUGUAUGUGUGUGUAUGUGUGUGUGUGUAUGUUUGUGUAUGGGUGUAUGUGUGUGUGUCUAGGUGAGUGUGUGUUUGUGUGUUUGUGUGUGUGUGUGUGGGUCUUUGUGUAUGUGUGUGUUUGUAUUUGUGUGUGUGUAUGUCUCUAUGUGUGUAUGUGUGUCGGUGUGUGUGGGUGGAUGUGUGUGUAUGUGUAUGUGUCUGUGUGUCUUUGUGUAUCUGUGUGUCUUUAUGUGUGUGUGUGUGUGUGUUUGUGCUUGUGUGUGUGUGUGUGUGUUUAUGGGUGUAUGUUUGCGUGUAGGUUUGUGUGUGUGUGGG